UGCGCGCACUAACCCCCUGCGCAAUGACCAACACUCCGUCCGGCUGAGCACUGCAGGCGCGGACUGUGAUGCGGUCAGCCUGGAGGAGCGAGUCUCUGUGAUUAACGGGAAAAGUCGGCGUAGCUUAGUAGAACCGGGUCGUUCUUCAGUAGGUAGUUUGGCUCGUGGGGUGGGGGUGGGGGGAGCUCGGGACUCCAGAUGGUCCCGUUUGGAGGCUGAGGAGCUGCGACGCGUUCAGGUGAAGCGGUCUGGAGUUAGUUUCUUGACAGCUGCGCCUCGGGCAAACAUCAGCGGGCUGUCACCAUCCGUUCAGCUGCCCGAGGACGAAGCAGCUGCACAGGCUUUUAUCCUGACUGGCCUCAUUUUAGUGUCCGAUGGUGCAGGAUGACUUGGAGGGGGCUUGACUUCACAGGUCCCCAAUAAACCUUGGUUUCCAAGAUAUUGUCCCUCCUUUCAGACGGCUUGUGCUUUUGUUCUGUGGAGACUCACCCUUCGUUAGAGCUGCCGCCAUGGCUAGCCUGGUGAUCAAUGAGACUGGAAUGGAGAACUGUGGGAUUGAUGAUUCCUUUAAGUAUGACCUGUACUCUGCGGUGUACAGUGUCGUUUUCAUUCUAGGUCUGAUAACCAACUGCGCCGCCCUUUUUGUCUUCUGCUUCCGAAUGAACAUCCGCAACGAAACCACCCUGUUCAUGACAAACUUGGCGUUUUCGGAUUUAGUGUUUGUUUUCACGCUGCCCUUCAAGGUCUACUACAAUGUCAACCGCAACUGGCCUUUUGGAGAUGGCUUGUGCAAGGUUUCAGGGACCGCCUUCAUCACCAACAUCUACGGCAGCAUGCUUUUCCUCACCUGCAUCAGCGUGGACCGCUUCUUGGCUAUAGUGUACCCGUUCCGUUCCCGCUCCAUCCGGACGCGCAGGAAUGCGGCGCUCAUGUGUGCGGCCGUGUGGUUGACUAUCGUAGGUGGAGGAAUCUCUGUGACAUUCUUCUCCACCAUAAACAGCAAACACUCAGCUACCACAUGCUUCGAGGGCUUCUCCAAGAACACCUGGAAGACCUACCUGUCUAAAAUUACUAUCUUCAUUGAGAUUGUUGGCUUCCUCUUACCACUCUUGGCCAAUUUGGUGUGUUCCUCGAUGGUCCUGCGAACGCUCCGCCGCCCAGUGACCGUCGCUCAUGGCUGUGACAGCAAGAAACGUGUCCUGAGAAUGAUCGUGGUCCAUCUUGGCAUCUUCAUCAUCUGCUUCGUUCCUUAUAACUCCAUCCUUUUUGUGUAUGCGCUGGUGCGGACCCAAGCGCUAGCGAACUGCACGGUGGAGCGCUUUGCGCGGACACUCUACCCCAUUACCCUGUGCCUGGCCAGUCUCAACUGCUGUCUGGAUCCUGUGGUCUAUUACUUCACCUCAGAGAGCUUCCAGAAGAGCUUCGUUUUGGGAAGCAAAGGAAGCGGCUCUCGCCCCGGGAGCAUUCCCCGCAGUGACGCCGAGGCUAAAGACAUGCCCCACAGUCUCCCCACGGACACGCACACUGUGGCCAGCAACGGAAAAGAGACAGUGAUGUCUGACAGUCAGUUGUGACUCAACGUUUCUUUCUUUUUUUUUUUUUUGCUUACUAGAAACUGCAAUUAGCUGUUUGAUUCUGGAAGUGGCAAACAAAUAGCUUAGCAGAUUAGUUAAAUCCUGAGGGUAAGUCCUGAGGUAUGGCCUGGGAUUUUCGGAUUAAUCCAUAACUGUUGAUCUGAGGAACACUUUUUCUUUCUUGGGAGGGAACACUCAACGGAACUCAGUUCCAGCCAUACGGAGAAAAACUGUUUGUUCAGGGACCCUCCAGCUCAUCAUCACUCAGGCUUAUCGCACACUCAGUCCCGAAGAUGCACUGGAUUGUGCAUAAGGUGUAAACUUCGGAGUAAAACAUAAUAAGUACUUUUGUAACACAGGUUAUUUGAAAGUAAGGACUUUCUCAUGGUUUUAUGUCAUGUUAAGGCCAUGUCAGACAGCCACUACAUGCACUUUGCACAUUUUCCUCAUAUAAAACACUCUUUUGUGAUACAUACCAUCUGUCAAGGGUUUUGGCCGACGGGUCUUCACGUGAAUCUGGUUUUGAGCUGUUAAAAAUUUUUGGUCGGUUAAGAAUUACGGAGUUUGUGCAUAUUUUAAGUGUUUUAUAUUCAAUUAUUGAGUAAAUCUUACGCAAGUGUGCGUGAUUUUUGAGAGAUGUGUACUCAAACUCAUGACUGUCCACGACCGUUCUACGUACACGUAUACGGAGAUCAUAUCACGUUAAAAUUACACAACUGACGCACAAAUCACUAAUGAAUUGCAAACAGCAAUAAUCACACAUGUUCUACGUUGAUUUACGUGUUCUUUGUGUGGUUUAUUUGUCUUCUUUGGUGGAUUUCAGAAUCAGCUUUAUUGGCCAAAUACGCUGCAUGUACAAGGAAUUUGGCUUCGGUGUCUUUAAUGUGGUUCAUUCAUGAAACAUCUGUGAAAAUUAUACAUAGACCACAACUUUUCUUACUUUUUUCACGUAUGUUCAUGUAUGACCAAUUGUGUGCAAUAUGCGCAAAAUGUGCGUGUUGGCUGUGUGACAUGGGCUCUAGACAUGAGCGCCUGAAUGGUGUGUUGAUAAUGCUGGUAUGUCCCGGCCUUGAACUGACAAAGUUUCAUGUUGUUAAAAGUUUUAUUUCCCUCAUCAAAGCUCCUCUGUCAGCUUGAACCCAAACAUGAACUUGCAGAGGAGUUUGUCUUUCUCUUGUGUUUCUGUUGUGCAAGUCUUCCUCACUGAGCAGGGCAGCCCUGAUUCAGUGGAGGACCUUGGUCUGCAUGCCGUGUCGCAGGCCAAAUGCUUAUUAUGGCUGAACCAAUGGACCAUUGUUUUCCCCUGAAUGAGUGCUCUCUGUCUUAAUCUGGCCUUAGACUGCAGAUCUGCUCACAGUCUUUUACAGGCAACAAACAUGUUCACAUUCCAAAGUACGGUUGAACAGUCGUGACUGUUUAUCCACAAAGUUGCCUUCUUACACAACGCAGUAAUGAGUGAAGAGAUCCUCAAGUGUGAGAACUGCUGAAUUUGCAUGCAGGUUUUUUUUUAAUACGUCUGUCAGAAAUGUCUUCAGUCUGAUGCCUUUAUAAUGCAGUCCUAACAGGAUGUAAGACCUGCCAAAAUAAACAUUUUCAGAGGAUAAUUUUGUUAAACAUGUUGUGCAUUGAGGUUCAGACUAAAGACUAAAAUUUCACCUCCGACUAUAAAACUGGGUUUUAUCAUUUGUAACCAUUGAAAUGUUUGCCUUUCUGAAAAUGGAUAUGUAGCUAUUAAAGUCAAACUCUGAUCAUCUUUUAACUAUUUUCAAAGUGUUCCCAGAGGUCUUUUAAUCCCGAUAAUGACAUUUUUAGAAUUCACCUCUGAUUUGUAGGCUGGAUUGUUGGUGUGGGGUAAGCCCACCCCCACAUCCCAUCAUCCAUUUGUUUACCUGCUUUUACACUAGCUUACAACCCCUCAAAACCCCAACUAAACAUUAUCAGUGCAACAAAAAUGGUGAGGAAUAUCAGAGCCAUAUAGUUUUUAACCAGAUGCCAGCUCGGAGAGGAAAACAAAAAAAUGUACAUGGAUCUAAUCGUUUAUAAGUGGAUGCCGCUUAGCAGGAAGCUUCUGGCUUGGCGUUGAAGGUCCCACGUCCCAACUACGAGCAUUUUCCAACCGCAUUUUGUGUCUGCUCCUGAUUUACAACAAUUUGAAUAAAGAAACAUUCAGAAAUGCAAUUUGAAGCUUACCUUUCUCUAUAGAUGUCUUCCAUCACCAGCUAAAUGCGACAAGAACAUGUUGGAGUGGUUCUUUAAUAACAAACAUUUGAACACAUCCUAAAGCUGAAAAUAUGAUGGCAAAAUAAAUUCCAUUUCCGAUUUAAACAUCUGUGUCAACAGCAAGGGACGUCUGAUCUCUGAAAAUGACAAAGCAUGUUUAAUCCCUAAAUGAAGUAAUGAAGACCCAAAUCGUUGCUAACACUUCUGCUAAUUUCUUCCUCCUUUGUUAUUUUGGGAGGUUGACCAUGGCCUAAGAGCUGAGGAAAGCUUGAUAUUGCAAAAGGACGACAUUAAAUGCAAAGACUGGUGCAGAAAAAAAAGCUAAAUUGUGAAUCAUGGAAACAACUUGCAGUGUAAAGUAGCGGGAGAAAAUCUUGAUAUGAUUAAAAAUGACAGAAAAGGCCAAAAAGUAUCUAGUUGCUAAAGGCGUAAUACUGAAUUCUAAUGUGAACCAACUGUGAAAUGUUGUGUUGAAGAACCAAUGACUGUAUAGGAGAACUGGACUGAGUGACUUCUCCCCCCUGGUGUUUCAAACAGGAAGUACCCGCUGGACCCGCAGUGAUUAUAUUUGUCAAAAAAACAUUCUUGCUUUGUUACCUUUUUAACAUGUUCUCGAUCAUUUUAUUUUCAUUAUAUUAUUCCUUUAGUCCAAGAAAUUAAAGUUAUAAACUGGCCAAUCGGAUGCCCCAAUAAAAGUAGGUGGUCUCCCCUCAAACAUUCAAAUGUUGGCACAGACCAAUUUGGACCAAUCGCUACUUACUAAUGAUUUCUGGUUCCAAUAUGGCGGCGACCUUAUUGCAAAAUACUGGCGACUGAAUUGAGUUCUUGUUGUUGGAACUGGAAGCAAGUCAUUUUUCUAUGGGCGACGUCACACUCACUGAGUCCAUUUCUCAUAUGCAAUAAUUGGUACGUAGUAAUUCGCUACCAGCUGUUCCCUAAUUCAUGCAAACCAGGAAGUACUGAAGGUUGCAGUUCCUCAAAAGACCAUAGGAGGCCGCUGUCAGAAAAGAGCAAUUUUCCACUGAAUCCCAUGUUAAAAGGCAGAUUUUAAACCAAAAGUGAAUGCAUGUGUACAGCUUGUUGUCAAACACUUUUAUUUUUGUUCAUUUCUCUGUUUCCAUAUUUUAGAAUCAAUUGUUGUGAUUAUGUUAGAAGUUAAAUGUGUGUAUAUUUUAAAGCCUGUUUUUUUAAUGGCAGCUGCUCGGUUCAAUGUGCACCUCCCACCUCUUACAGAAUUUUUUACAGUGCAGAAACCUGUGGCUGACAUUGAAAAUUAUCCACCCAGAGUAGCUAUCUCUAUUGUAGUAGUCAAUUGGGAAAUAUUAAAGGAAAUUCCAGUGCAAGAUGGAAGUCUACAGAGUGUAGUUUGGCUAAAACUCAAGGUUCAGUGAGUCUGUCCGCUCUUCAGAUUGUUAUCCUGAUAAACCGCUGUGGAAGAGUCAGAAAGCUGCAGAUAUUCUCCACUAAAAGUCUUUUUUUUUGUGCAACUUGUUCUUUUGUAGUGACGUUUUAAAGGCCCAUUCCCAGGCCUUAACCUGUAGAAACUGCAUUUUAAACAGAUAGGUGAAGCUCCAGUAACCGCACUAAGCCUCUUUUUUGUCCAGGAAUAUUGCAGUGUGUUAUUCAGAGUCACUGAUAACAGUCAAUGGACUCUGGAAUUUGAGGUCAAGAGUAGCAGAGAGGAGGAUGACAGUGCUGCAGAGGAACAAAGGGGUAGGAAAUAGGAGGAGUGUAAAAGCAGGCUGGAGCUCCUCUCAGUGCUUUAUUGUCGAGAUCAUUGUUCCAGCUCUUCAAGAGAAACAGCUCGAGUGUUUACAGGCGACCUGUUUUUGUUAUGGCAGCAGGAGAACAGGAGGAACUCAGUGUUGGCUGACUCUGACACCUAGUGGACACAAGUAGGAACAGUUAAAAACUGCUAUAUGAACUCCAAGAACCGCUGAUGUGUAGACACUGAUCUGAGAAGAUCCCUAAAUAGCAUCGCUGUGAGAUUUGUGUGUGUGUGUGUGUGUGUGUGUGUGUGUGUGUGUGUGUGUGUGUGUUAAUCGAAGCACAGGCAUGUUUGCUUUUUUCUGAGUUCUGCAUUCUUGUUCAUGUUAGGUCAUAGGGGUUUGUGGAGACGCGCUUAAACAUGUUUGAAACUACACCAUGGCUGCAGAUUUUCAAGUUUAGGUUUAUAAAAAAAAAAAAAAAGAUUUAGAAGAAGUAAAAACUCUUCUGGCAACACUUUCCGAAAUGAUUGUUACGAUAAACUGUAAUUUAAAUAACAAGGAAGUAAAUUUUCUGAUUGAGGAAGCAGAUAAAACAGUUCAGAGUGCUUCUAAACUUCGCUCAGAUGUUCCCUUAACCAUUUUUGAGGGUCUGGGUUUCUCCUCCGUGGGCAUCUACUGGAAGAAUCUUCCGUCUUUUUAAGGGGAGUCUGUGACGCAUCAAACGGCAGGAAAAGGUCCUUCUGCAGACUGAGAGGGCAGAGCUUCCCCUUCGUGCACACGAAUCUGAAAAUCAGCUUGACAGCAGACGACAGCAGGCUUCGGCUCAUCAUGCAACUAAACCGCAACUGUGGCACGCUUCUGGACGAGCCUGCGUUUGUGAAACUGCUGCAGCAUGUGGUCAUCUCUGGAUCUGGGCUCUUUGUUUUCAGACUGACAGUGACGGAAGUGGCUACGAAAUGAACGAACAGGAGAAGCAACCAGCA